UUGGUGAAUUUUGGGGUGAUUUGGGUCAGUUUCUGGUCAUUUUUGGGGUGAUUUUUGGGUCAAUUUCUGGUCAUUUUUUGGGGUGAUUUGGGUCAGUUUCUGGUCAUUUUUUGGGGAGAUUUGGGUCAGUUUCUGGUC